rnacentral:rRNA from 1 species
GCACCGGCUAACUCCGCUGCCAGCAGCCGCGGAUAAUACGGAGGGUGCGAGCGUUAAUCGGAAUUACUGGGCGUAAAGGGUGCGUAGGUGGUUUAAUAAGUUAGAUGUGAAAUCCCUGGGGCUUAACCUGGGGSWGACAUUUAAUACUGUUUGACUGGAGUAUUGGAGAGGGUAGUGGAAUUUCCGGUGUAGCGGUSAAAUGCGUAGAGAUCGGAAGGAACACCASUGGCGAAGGCGGCUACCUGGCCAGAUACUGACACUGAAGCACGAAAGCGUGGGGAGCAAACAGGAUUAGAUACCCUGGUAGUCCACGCUGUAAA